AAAGCGUGCGCAGGCGGUUAUGUAAGACAGAUGUGAAAUCCCCGGGCUCAACCUGGGAAUUGCAUUGGAGACUGCAAGGCUAGAAUCUGGCAGAGGGGGGUAGAAUUCCACGUGUAGCAGUGAAAUGCGUAGAUAUGUGGAGGAACACCGAUGGCGAAGGCAGCCCCCUGGGUCAAGAUUGACGCUCAUGCACGAAAGCGUGGGGAGCAAACAGGAUUAGAUACCCUUGU
rnacentral:rRNA from 1 species